rnacentral:rRNA from 1 species
GACGAACGCUGGCGGCGUGCCUAAUACAUGCAAGUAGAACGCAGUUGCGAACGGGUGAGUAACGCGUAGGUAACUGCCUGGUAGCGGGGGGUAACUAUUGGAUACGAUAGCUAAUACCGCUUACUACCAGAUGGACCUUCGUUGUAUUAGCUAGUCGGUGAGGUAACGGCUCACCAAGGCAACGAUACAUAGCCGACCUGGAAGGGUGAUCAGCCAAACUGGGACUGGGACACGGCCCAGACUCCGACGGGAGGCAGCAGUAGGGAAUCGUCGGCAAUGGGGGGAACCCUGACCAAGCAACGCCGCGUGAGUGAAGAAGGUUUUCGGAUCGUAAAGCUCUGUUGGUAAGGAAGCGGUACUUAACCAGAAAGGGACGGCUAACUACGUGCCAGCAGCCGCGGUAAUUC